AUUCUUUUGUCUCAGAAAAACCAUCCAAGACAGAUUGCUGAAAAGAUAACAUUUUAUCCCUUAGGUUGGAUGAAACAGCCUCAGAAGGCUGUUUGGAAAAGAGGAGUAUUUUCAGUGAAGCUACAAACAGGAAACCACCACUGGCCAGGUUGUGGUUUCUUUAAACCAUGUCCAAAGAUAGCUGAUGGAGCACAAGAUUUCUGACACAAAGAGCUUGAUGUAAACUUUGGACAUGGGAGCAAGGUUUGAAGACCAUGAGUGAUGUUUGUGAUUUAAUACGUAAUUCUGACCACGACCUGUCGCCACUGGUUCUUCAGACUUUGCACUGAAAGAUGCACCCAACAAAUGUUUGAGAGCACGGUGUUUUUAUAAGAAUUGUUGUCAUCCUUUGAAUUACACAAGGAUCAUUAGGGGAGAAACAUGAUUAUCUCCAAACAACACAAAACCAUCAGCGUUUUCAAAGUACUUUAAGAUUUGUGGUUUUGUCUUUAAUUGUGCUGUUACUGUGCUUGCUCAUGAGUUGUGGGUGAUAACAUGUGAUUAUCAUCUGCCUACUUGAUCACAUGCACAUUUGUGAGGCUUGCAAGAGCAAACAUUAUCUGGCUGGGAUCUGCCACAUUCUGCAGAGUUUCAGAGACUGUUUCCCAGACAACAGCACAGUCCUCUUGCAUCCAUGAGCCGUGCACCGCCGUGGACCUGCACUCAGUCUAACACCUGGUGGCAGCUGCUGCUCCCACUGCUGACACAGACAAGAUGUUUGUAGAGCCAUAAUCCAACUGCCUGAACUCUGCAAGUCAAGGAAACUGCACAACCUAAAUUAAAAAGUCAAAAUGAGUCAAACAGCACCUACCUUGUUACAAAUUCUGAGUCAGUUUUUAAAUUGAAACCAGAUCAUUCCUUGCCAAAAGUCAUUUAAGGGCCAUGUACUACCUGUUUAAGACCUCUGCUGCCAAACAUAAAGACAAGCACAGCUGUGUAAUGUGGUAAAUCAUUUCUCUGUGGCAAUUUGAGUGUGCUAAAACAAAGGAGCCCAGAGGGCAGGUGGAGGAGUGAGUGUCAGAAGCAGGCAGCUCAGGCCAGCUGGGUGGGAUUCUGUGCAGGGCAUUUACAUUUUGGAUGUUGUCAGGUGGGCGAGGAAGCUGAUAAGAAAAAUAAUUAUUUGCAUUCAAAUUAUAUAAACAGUGCCAGAGCCUGGUUAGUGUAGGCAGUGACAGACAGUGUUUCCCAACCACAGGAGAUGUAUCACAUGCUGGGUAAGGAAGGUAUAUGAGGCAACAGCACUCUGAAGGUGUGCAGCUCUAAGCCUCUUGGCACAUUUUAUGGCAGAAGAAUAAAAUAAAAGGGAUCUGAAAAGCAAAUGAUCGUCCCAGAUCCUCCUAUUAAAAAUGCACAUUUUUAAUAUGCCCUAACUUAAACUCUGUGUUCUGAAGCAAAGAUAAUGUCUG